GUGGGGAAUUUUGGACAAUGGGCGCAAGCCUGAUCCAGCCAUUCCGCGUGCAGGAUGAAGGCCUUCGGGUUGUAAACUGCUUUUGUACGGAACGAAAAGCCUCUGGUUAAUACCCGGGGGUCAUGACGGUACCGUAAGAAUAAGCACCGGCUAACUACGUGCCAGCAGCCGCGGUAAUACGUAGGGUGCGAGCGUUAAUCGGAAUUACUGGGCGUAAAGCGUGCGCAGGCGGUGAUGUAAGACAGUUGUGAAAUCCCCGGGCUCAACCUGGGAACUGCAUCUGUGACUGCAUUGCUGGAGUGCGGCAGAGGGGGAUGGAAUUCCGCGUGUAGCAGUGAAAUGCGUAGAUAUGCGGAGGAACACCGAUGGCGAAGGCAAUCCCCUGGACCUGUACUGACGCUCAUGCACGAAAGCGUGGGGAGCAAACAGGAUUAGAUACCCGGGUAGUCC
rnacentral:rRNA from 1 species